UCCAGCUGCUCCUGCCCCGGCCAUGCUCAACUUCGCUCCUGGUCAGUUGCCGCAGAUCAUUUUGGUGCGCACCACAAUGAGGAGGUGGAUGAUCUACCCAAUCUGAUCAUCGUCGACACUAUCAUCAUCAGGAUCUAAUGUUGUUUAGGUUGCUGCUGCUG